rnacentral:rRNA from 1 species
UACGUAGGGUGCGAGCGUUGUCCGGAAUUAUUGGGCGUAAAGGGCUCGUAGGCGGUUUGUCACGUCGGGAGUGAAAUCCACUGGCUUAACUGGUGGCUUGCUUUCGAUACGGGCAGACUGGAGGUAUGCAGGGGAGAACGGAAUUCCUGGUGUAGCAGUGAAAUGCGCAGAUAUCAGGAGGAACACCGGUGGCGAAGGCGGUUCUCUGGGCAUGUCCUGACGCUGAGGAGCGAAAGUGUGGGGAGCGAACAGG